GAACGACUCUCGGCAACGGAUAUCUCGGCUCUUGCAUCGAGGAAGAACGUAGCGAAAUGCGAUACUUGGUGUGAAUUGCAGAAUCCCGUGAACCAUCGAGUCUUUGAACGCAAGUUGCGCCCGAAGCCAUUAGGCCGAGGGCACGCCUGCCUGGGUGUCACAC
rnacentral:rRNA from 1 species